rnacentral:rRNA from 1 species
UGCCUAAUACAUGCGAGUCUAGCGGGACAGAUGGGCAGCUUGCUCCCUGAUGUUAGCGGCGGUAGGGUGAGUAACACGUGGGUAACCUGCCUGUAAGACUGGGAUAACUCCGGGAAACCGGGGCUAAUACCGGGAUGGUUGUUUGAACCGCAUGGUUCAAACAUAAGAGGUGGCUUCGGCUACCACUUACAGAUGGACCCGCGGCGCACUAGCUAGUUGGUGAGGUAACGGCUCACCAAGGCAACGAUGCGUAGCCGACCUGCAGAGGGUGAUCGGCCACACUGGGACUGAGACACGGCCCAGACUCCUACGGGAGGCAGCAGUAGGGAAUCUUCCGCAUUGGAUGAAAGUCUGACGGAGCAACGCCGCGUGAGUGAUGAAAGUUUUCGGAUCGUAAAGCUCUGUUGUUAGGGAAGAACAAGUACCGUUCUGAAUAGGGCGGUACCUUGACGGUACCUAACCAGAAAGCCAC